UAUGAUCCGCCCACAGCCUACCAAAGUGCUGGGAUUAUAGGCAUGAGCUGCCAUGCCGGCCACGAAAGGAAGCUUUUAAAUUGUGGAGUAUUUCGUGCAUCCACAAUAGUAGAGAGAACAUUAUGAAGAACCUACACAUAAAAAGAAACCAACCUCUAUCAUUUGAAUUAACAGUCUUUAUAACCCCACCAACUUCUGCCAAUGGAGCAAAUUCCCAGACAUCUUAUAUAUUUCAUCUUAUAAUUUCAUUAUUUAUUCCCUAAAAGACAAUAUCUCAAUUAUCAUAGUGAUACUGUAACUUUUAAUAAGCUGUUCAGUGUGAAUUAUAACCACAUUUUUCUCCAACCAUUUAUAAGUAAGAUUCAAUAAAUUAAAACAGCACCUGGAAUUCUCUUCUGUUAAGGUGGGGCAGGGAGAGCCCUCAGUCUGGCACAGGUAGGGGUGGGUGGCAGAAGAGCAAACCCAACAGCUGAGGUUCCUUGAGAAUGCAAACUUCUCACCGAACACACAGCUCUCUGCAGGCCUCGGCGCCCCAAGCACUGCAGCGUUUGGCCCAGGAGGCUGCGCGAGUCCGUAGCGGAAGUGGGGGCGGCAGAACAGUGAUUGGCCGCGGCCGGCACCUUCUCUGGGCUUCGACUUCCAGGUGAGACCGCGGAGGUGGAGCUCGACUUUGGAGACCAGGGGCAGCGCCAGGUACCACAGUGGAUGGAAGGAUGCGUAGUGCGGCGUGGCAGCUGCCCUCUUCUCCCCGGACCCAGCGCCUGGAGAGGCAGCCCUGCAGGGUGGGCUGGGCGAACUAAACUGCGUUCCUGGUGCAGGGCUUCGGGUCUCCCUAACAUACCUUAAACGUUGAACAGCCGCCGCCUUGGCAGUGUCUCUUUGCUCAGAGAUCCUGAGACGACCACACUCGUCCAACAGCAGUCGCUCCACCAAGCCUGGGGAAAGCGAAUCGUUUUCUCCGCGUGCCCUGUCAGCCGCUCAUGCUGCCCAGAGAGGAAGGAAUUUUAGUGGCAACAUUCCGGCUGUCAACGGCACUGAAAUUGCCAGGCCCCUCCAAGUCAGAAGGACCACCAGGAAAAGUCAGGAAGAGAAUCACCAUCAGGUUGCAGCCUCUUUUUGUGACAAGGACUAGAUGGUUGGUUUGGUCUGCAGUGGGCUGUCUUCCCGCUGGACUGGCCUCUCCUGUAGAGCGGGCUGCCUCAAGGAAGAAGCUCACAGGGGACAUCUGACCUCUGAAACAGCAAGUGUGAAAUGCUUUAAAUAAGCCAAAACUAAACCAAUAGUUAUGUUAACUAAAAAUACAUGGAUGCUACCGAAGAUAGUGGAAUAUUAGAGGAAGAGAGUAAACUCUGAUUUUGAGCGCUUUAUGCUUUAUUCGGAAAACGAAUAAGAUGCAGUUCUGAAAACCUGAAAAUAUAAAUAGGAUAUGAUACACUAGAUGAAAACAAAACUUUCAGACCAUGUUUUCUUACUUAAAGCUCUAAUAAGUGAGAUAGCAAACUAUUCACUCAGAUAAUUAGUAACUGAUAUACGGGUAUGUAUCAAUAACAGGUAUUAAGAUAAAAAUUAUAUGAGCUUUUCCAUUUUAACAAGGGAUGAUGAUUCUAGACUUCUGCCACAACAUUAUGGUCGACAAAACAUUCUUAAUUCAUUUUACAUAGAUCUGACUCUAGAUUCUGAAACAAAGUCAUAAUCUUUUAUCUCUGAAGAUAGAAUACAGUGAGAUUUGGAAAGACACCACAAAAACUCAUGGUCCAAAAAAGAUUAAGGCUGGUAUUACUAGGAGGAAGACAAAGAGGACAAAAUCAAACUGGACAGAUACAAUAGAGUUGUUUGUUUGUUAGAAUUGUCUUCCCAAGAGAUGGAAAAAGACACCGUCACAAUAGGAUUCAUGCUUUAGUAUUCAGCUACAGAAAUGUAAUAACUUUGCCAAAGUAAUUACAGUACGUAGAGUGGCAAUCGUUCUAUUAAAAGUAAAACCCAGUAAUACUAGGAUUUUUCUGGACAAUGAAGGAGAUUAGGUUUAAUCUUAUAACUUGCAUGCCAGGUCUCAUAUCUUUUCUUCAAGUCAUAUUUUUAUGAAACUAUUUAGGCUGUGUUUCACACUGAGUAUGAUUUCUAACCUCUUAUAAUCUGUACAGUAAUAGAUUAUGAAGGAUGAAUUACUUGAAAGCUACUUUGUGUCUUAUUUAGAAGAGGAGCUCUUCAAUUCUGAAUUCUGUCUGCCACUUAUAAGCAGAAGGAAGUUUUUUUCUUUCAUUAUUUUAGCAACUAUCAGUAUUAGAAAUGCCUACUCUUCAGAGAUGUAAUAGGAAUAAAUUGUAAAGUACUUUUGAUGUUCUAAGAUGAAAGAUGGUAUUACACAGUCAAUAAUUCAAUGCUUUCCACUUUAUGAAUUUUGUCAAAAUUAUAUAGAGAGCUGUUAGUUCAGUCCAACAACAAAACAGGCUUAUAUAAAAACAAAAACCUCCUGGGUCAUGCCAUCCUACACCAAAUCCCUGUUAAACAGAGGCAUGAUUUAUUCCAGUGACCUUGCUAUUUCUCCAUAACUGCAAUAUGUCUAAUGUUAGACAUUUUAAAUUAAUAUUCUAUUAGGUAAACUGAGAAUUUAGGUCUCUCGCACCACCCAGGCACAUACUCUUAUCUUUCUCCACAAACAUCCAACUAUGGUAAUAUAAUUGGAUAUUCAUACAACUAUAUAAUUGUUCACAGCUGAGCCUCUUAGGUACUAUAAUUAUAAUUUAUUUGAUACACAAUUUUUUUUUUUUUUUUUUUGAGACGGAACCUGGCUCUGUCGCCCAGGCUGGAGUGCAGUGGCGCAAUCUCGGCUCACUGCAAGCUCCGCCUCCCGGGUUCACACCAUUCUCUGGCCUCAGCCUCCCGAGUAGCUGGGACUACAGGUGCCCGCCACCAUGCCCAGCUAAUUUUUUGUAUUUUUAGUAGAGAUGGGGUUUCACUGUGUUAGCCAGGGUGGUCUCGAUCUCCUGACCUCGUGAUACACCCGCCUUGGCCUCCCAAAGUUCUGGGAUUACAGGUGUGAGCCACCGCCCCUGGCCCACAAAUUUUGUUUUACUAAUUGCCUGAUUUCUUGCUGCAUUUUCUGUUUUUCUCUUUCAGCCCCAUAGCUGCUAAUCUCUAAAGUUCCUCUCAAUAAAAGUAAUCUCGACAUGUAA